UACGAAGGGUGCAAGCGUUAUUCGGAAUCAUUGGGCGUAAAGCGCGCGCAGGCGGCGGUGCUGGCCCGGCGUGAAAGCCCCCGGCUCAACCGGGGAGGGUCGUCGGGGACCGCACCGCUUGAGGGCGGUAGGGGCUGGUGGAAUGCCUGGUGUAGUGGUGAAAUGCGUAGAGAUCAGGCGGAACACCCGUGGCGAAGGCGGCCAGCUGGGCCGUCCCUGACGCUGAGGCGCGAAGGCGUGGGGAGCGAACGGG
rnacentral:rRNA from 1 species